AAAUUUUACACAUCCUUAUCAUAAAAAAUUUCUUAUUCUCAUCAUGUUUACAAGUAUUAAGGCCUACUAAUUUAUAAUUAAAACAACUUGAAGCCCUACUAAUGUACUACAACUACUAAACUAUUACAACUACUUGCAACAAACAAAACAACAGUUGACGUCAGCUCCUUCACGCCAAAGUAGCAACAAUCCGACUCGCAACUAAUCCAACAGCAGUAGCAACGAUUCCUAUCUCAUUCACACCAUCUGCAUACAAAACAAGCAUAAUUAAACAACUCAUUCACUUAGUUAACAUCAAAUGCAUCCAUUCUGGUUCAAUCUAAGAAUUUAAUUUGUAUAUAGAGGCAAGCAUUCAAACUACAGUUACAGAGACUGCUGCGUAUUCACAUUUUUGUUACUAAAGAGAGACCAGGUUGAACUGAAACGAGAAAGAAGAGAUGGAGAUGGGAACCAAAAUAGUAGAAUCAGAGGUUACAUAGUUUAAGCCAACGAAUUCUACUAAUCAUCACAUCUGAAUCAUUCAUUCUUACUUGUAGUGGUCAGCUAAAAUGUUAGGCUCAAGUUACAUAAACACCAAUAUUCUUACUUGUAGUGGCAGUGGGAGAGUUGCUUCAUGAGCAGUAAUAUGCUUAUCGCUGAAUAAAUUAAGAGUAACAAAAUUCGAAACUAAAAUGCACAACACCAAUACAUUCCUACUCAAUCCUAGCUUUACCAAUAGAGAUUAACCAUUAUGUAUAAACAACACAUGAACAAGCAGAGAACAGCAAACUAACAAUAAGCAUAACAGAUGCAUGGAAGAGGCUGAUCAACAAGCAACAAACUGAACAACUAGCUCUACAGAGCAAAAUCACCUUGGUCCUUGGCGAAGGAGUGAAGUUUAAACUAGGAAGGAGGAAACUGGAACGGUUUUGAAGUUGGAGCAGGACCCUUUAUAUGGCUUUUCAAAGGAAGUAAUGGACAACCGCAAGCUUUUCUAACUCCAUCAUCAUCCACGAAACAGUAGUUAUAAACCUACAAUGACUAAAUCAUUUCACUACCUUAAAACUCAAAACGAAUGCGAAUUUUCAAACAAACAAACAAUGAAUCAAUACAUCAAAAUGCCAUGUCGAAGUCAAAUUGGCAAGCUGGAUUGAAAUUUGAGCAUUAGGAGAUUGAUUUCUCUUACCAUUUCUUGCUCUCAGAAGCCCAGAUAUAACUUGGGAUUGGAAAACUCCCAAGUCCAAAAACUCCGAUGAAGUCGUUGCUGCAUAUAAUCAGAAACGAUCCAAUUGAUUCAGAGAUGGGAACAAUGGAGAUAAGUGCAAGUUGGAUCUCAAGAGAAGGAAAGCAAAAGCUCACCGUAGCUUUUGCUUCUUCCAGGGAAUCUCUAGAUAGUGCAAACUUCAAUCCAGAUCGAGCACCGGAUGGUGUUCCCCGACCAAGCUUCAAGCGGGGAGAGCAAAUCUGGAAACCCGAGAGAGUAUAAUGUAUUGUUUUUUUCUCAACUUCAAUCAUGAUGGAAGUAAGAACUUUUCUCAAAACAACAUUUGUGU
rnacentral:lncRNA from 1 species